CCUACGGGCGGCUGCAGUGAGGAAUAUUGGUCAAUGGCCGAGAGGCUGAACCAGCCAAGUCGCGUGAGGGAAGACGGCCCUACGGGUUGUAAACCUCUUUUGCCGGGGAGCAAAGCGAGUCACGUGUGACUCAUUGAGUGUACCCGAAGAAAAAGCAUCGGCUAACUCCGUGCCAGCAGCCGCGGUACUACGGAGGAUGCGAGCGUUAUCCGGAUGUAUUGGGUUAAAAGGGUGCGCAGGCGGAGGUGCAAGUCAGCGGUCAAAUUGCGGGGCUCAACCCCGUACUGCCGUUGAAACUGCAUCCCUUGAGUGCGCGAGAAGUAUGCGGAAUGCGUGGUGUAGCGGUGAAAUGCAUAGAGAUCACGCAGAACACCGAUUGCGAAGGCAUCUCACGAAUCCGCGAUUGACGCUGAUGCACGAAAGCGUGGGUAUCAAACAGGAUUAGAUACCCCAGUAGUC
rnacentral:rRNA from 1 species